rnacentral:rRNA from 1 species
GACGAACGCUGGCGGCGUGCUUAACACAUGCAAGUCGAACGAAGAGCGAUGGAAGCUUGCUUCUAUCAAUCUUAGUGGCGAACGGGUGAGUAACGCGUAAUCAACCUGCCCUUCAGAGGGGGACAACAGUUGGAAACGACUGCUAAUACCGCAUACGAUCUAAUCUUGGCAUCGAGGAUAGAUGAAAGGUGGCCUCUACAUGUAAGCUAUCACUGAAGGAGGGGAUUGCGUCUGAUUAGCUAGUUGGAGGGGUAACGGCCCACCAAGGCGAUGAUCAGUAGCCGGUCUGAGAGGAUGAACGGCCACAUUGGGACUGAGACACGGCCCAGACUCCUACGGGAGGCAGCAGUGGGGAAUCUUCCGCAAUGGACGAAAGUCUGACGGAGCAACGCCGCGUGAGUGAUGACGGCCUUCGGGUUGUAAAGCUCUGUUAAUCGGGACGAAAGGCCUUCUUGCGAAU